rnacentral:ncRNA from 1 species
GAGAGCCCGGUGCAUUGAAAGGUGCACGCCGGGUUCGGGAAGCGGCCCGAGGAAACGGAACGGUCAUCGCGGCCGUCACCGCGCCUCGGGCCGACUUCUAC